GAUCUUGUGUUGCGCUAAGCCACCCACAAUAGUACUGCCUGCCCUCUCCUCCCUCCUCCUUCCUUCUUGCUUUUCCAGCCCUGCUUCUGUGCCCUUCCCACUCUUCCUGUCUCACUCUCUGACUAUAAUACAAGGUUGUUGAAGGUGUGAAGCAAGCAAGUGGCUUUGCUCUGAGCCUCAUGGAGUCAGAAAGACCAGCUGGGUUUUGGUGCCCUUAGGGCUCUAGCUC
rnacentral:lncRNA from 10 species